rnacentral:rRNA from 1 species
UACGAAGGGGGCUAGCGUUGUUCGGAAUUACUGGGCGUAAAGCGCGCGUAGGCGGUGAUCUUUGUCAGAGGUGAAAUCCCGAGGCUCAACUUCGGAAUUGCCUUUGAAACGGGAUCGCUUGAGUCCGAGAGAGGAUGGCGGAAUUCCUAGUGUAGAGGUGAAAUUCGUAGAUAUUAGGAAGAACACCAAUGGCGAAGGCAGCUCGCUGGGACGGUACUGACGCUGAGACGCGAAAGCGUGGGGAGCAAACAGG